rnacentral:rRNA from 1 species
AAUCCAUAGGUUAAUGAGGCGAACCGGGGGAACUGAAACAUCUAAGUACCCCGAGGAAAAGAAAUCAACCGAGAUUCCCCCAGUAGCGGCGAGCGAACGGGGAGGAGCCCAGAGCCUGAAUCAGCAUGUGUGUUAGUGGAAGCGUCUGGAAAGGCGCGCGAUACAGGGUGACAGCCCCGUACACAAAAGCGCAUGUGCUGUGAGCUCGAUGAGUAGGGCGGGACACGUGGUAUCCUGUCUGAAUAUGGGGGGACCAUCCUCCAAGGCUAAAUACUCCUGACUGACCGAUAGUGAACCAGUACCGUGAGGGAAAGGCGAAAAGAACCCCGGCGAGGGGAGUGAAAAAGAACCUGAAACCGUGUACGUACAAGCAGUGGGAGCACCCUUUGGGUGUGACUGCGUACCUUUUGUAUAAUGGGUCAGCGACUUAUAUUCUGUAGCAAGGUUAACCGAAUAGGGGAGCCGGAGGGAAACCGAGUCUUAACCGGGCGUUAAGUUGCAGGGUAUAGACCCGAAACCCGGUGAUCUAGCCAUGGGCAGGUUGAAGGUUGGGUAACACUAACUGGAGGACCGAACCGACUAAUGUUGAAAAAUUAGCGGAUGACCUGUGGCUGGGGGUGAAAGGCCAAUCAAACCGGGAGAUAGCUGGUUCUCCCCGAAAGCUAUUUAGGUAGCGCCUCGUGAAUUCAUCUCCGGGGGUAGAGCACUGUUUCGGCUAGGGGGCCAUCCCGGCUUACCAACCCGAUGCAAACUGCGAAUACCGGAGAAUGUUAUCACGGGAGACACACGGCGGGUGCUAACGUCCGUCGUGAAGAGGGAAACAACCCAGACCGCCAGCUAAGGUCCCAAAGUCAUGGUUAAGUGGGAAACGAUGUGGGAAGGCCCAGACAGCCAGGAUGUUGGCUUAGAAGCAGCCAUCAUUUAAAGAAAGCGUAAUAGCUCACUGGUCGAGUCGGCCUGCGCGGAAGAUGUAACGGGGCUAAACCAUGCACCGAAGCUGCGGCAGCGACACUGUGUGUUGUUGGGUAGGGGAGCGUUCUGUAAGCCUGUGAAGGUGUGUCGUGAGGCAUGCUGGAGGUAUCAGAAGUGCGAAUGCUGACAUAAGUAACGAUAAAGCGGGUGAAAAGCCCGCUCGCCGGAAGACCAAGGGUUCCUGUCCAACGUUAAUCGGGGCAGGGUGAGUCGACCCCUAAGGCGAGGCCGAAAGGCGUAGUCGAUGGGAAACGGGUUAAUAUUCCCGUACUUGGUGUUACUGCGAAGGGGGGACGGAGAAGGCUAUGUUGGCCGGGCGACGGUUGUCCCGGUUUAAGCGUGUAGGUGUGUGUUCCAGGUAAAUCCGGUUCACUUUAACACUGAGGCGUGACGACGAGGCACUACGGUGCUGAAGCAACAAAUGCCCUGCUUCCAGGAAAAGCCUCUAAGCAUCAGGUAACAUCAAAUCGUACCCCAAACCGACACAGGUGGUCAGGUAGAGAAUACCAAGGCGCUUGAGAGAACUCGGGUGAAGGAACUAGGCAAAAUGGUGCCGUAACUUCGGGAGAAGGCACGCUGACACGUAGGUGAAGUGAUUUACUCAUGGAGCUGAAGUCAGUCGAAGAUACCAGCUGGCUGCAACUGUUUAUUAAAAACACAGCACUGUGCAAACACGAAAGUGGACGUAUACGGUGUGACGCCUGCCCGGUGCCGGAAGGUUAAUUGAUGGGGUCAGCGCAAGCGAAGCUCCUGAUCGAAGCCCCGGUAAACGGCGGCCGUAACUAUAACGGUCCUAAGGUAGCGAAAUUCCUUGUCGGGUAAGUUCCGACCUGCACGAAUGGCGUAAUGAUGGCCAGGCUGUCUCCACCCGAGACUCAGUGAAAUUGAACUCGCUGUGAAGAUGCAGUGUACCCGCGGCAAGACGGAAAGACCCCGUGAACCUUUACUAUAGCUUGACACUGAACAUUGAGCCUUGAUGUGUAGGAUAGGUGGGAGGCUUUGAAGUGUGGACGCCAGUCUGCAUGGAGCCGACCUUGAAAUACCACCCUUUAAUGUUUGAUGUUCUAACGUGGACCCGUUACCCGGGUUGCGGACAGUGUCUGGUGGGUAGUUUGACUGGGGCGGUCUCCUCCUAAAGAGUAACGGAGGAGCACGAAGGUUGGCUAAUCCUGGUCGGACAUCAGGAGGUUAGUGCAAUGGCAUAAGCCAGCUUGACUGCGAGCGUGACGGCGCGAGCAGGUGCGAAAGCAGGUCAUAGUGAUCCGGUGGUUCUGAAUGGAAGGGCCAUCGCUCAACGGAUAAAAGGUACUCCGGGGAUAACAGGCUGAUACCGCCCAAGAGUUCAUAUCGACGGCGGUGUUUGGCACCUCGAUGUCGGCUCAUCACAUCCUGGGGCUGAAGUAGGUCCCAAGGGUAUGGCUGUUCGCCAUUUAAAGUGGUACGCGAGCUGGGUUUAGAACGUCGUGAGACAGUUCGGUCCCUAUCUGCCGUGGGCGCUGGAGAACUGAGGGGGGCUGCUCCUAGUACGAGAGGACCGGAGUGGACGCAUCACUGGUGUUCGGGUUGUCAUGCCAAUGGCACUGCCCGGUAGCUAAAUGCGGAAGAGAUAAGUGCUGAAAGCAUCUAAGCACGAAACUUGCCCCGAGAUGAGUUCUCCCUGAGACUUAAAGUCUCCUGAAGGAACGUUGAAGACGACGACGUUGAUAGGCCGGGUGUGUAAGCGCAGCGAUGCGUUGAGCUAACCGGUACUAAUGAACCGUGAGGCUUAACCUUACAACGCCGAAG